GAUGAAGAACGUAGCGAAAUGCGAUAAGUAAUGCGAAUUGCAGAAUUUCCGUGAAUCAUCGAGUCUUUGAACGCACAUUGCGCCCCCUGGUAUUCCGGGGGGCAUGCCUGUCCGAGCGUCAUUGCUGCCCUCAAGCACGGCUUGUGUGUUGGGCCUCCGUCCUCCUCCCGGGGGACGGGCCCGAAAGGCAGCGGCGGCACCGCGUCCGGUCCUCGAGCGUAUGGGGCUUCGUCACCCGCUCUUGUAGGCCCGGCCGGCGCUUGCCGACACAUCAAUCUUUUUUCCAGGUUGACCUCGGAUCAGGUAGGGAUACCCGCUGAACUUAAGCAUAUCAUAAGCGGAGGA
rnacentral:misc_RNA from 1 species